rnacentral:rRNA from 1 species
UACGGAGGGUGCAAGCGUUAUCCGGAUUCACUGGGUUUAAAGGGUGCGUAGGCGGGCAUGUAAGUCCGUGGUGAAAUCUCUGAGCUUAACUCAGAAACUGCCAUGGAUACUAUAUGUCUUGAAUAUUGUGGAGGCAAGCGGAAUAUGUCAUGUAGCGGUGAAAUGCUUAGAUAUGAACAUAGAACACCCAUGCGAAGGCAGCU